AGAAAAGCGGGAAGAAGAGAAGCAGUGAAGGCAGAGCUCACUGGCCCAGCUCAGCAGGGCUUAAGAGAGGCCUCUCCCCUGGUGAUGUGUGUCUGAGGAUGAGGGCCCCCUGCUUUCUUGGGGGCAGUGUCUACCAGGAUUGUCUGCUCUGGAACUCAGAAAGGAAAGAGGGCUCUUGGAGUAGAAGGCAAGCACCUGGGAAGUCAAGGCAGCCAGAGAUAGCUCCGGGUGCCAGCACCUCGGAAGCAGCCACCCUUCAUGGAGAAGGGGACAGAGCUGCUGGUGUCCCCAUCCCAGAGCGGACCUGGGGGCGAUCAGCCCCUCCUCGUGAAGCACAGGGAGGACAGCGCCGUGGUACUGAGUCUCAUCGACACUGUUGACACCGUCAUGGGCCACGUAUCCUCCAACCUGCACAGCAGCAUGCCCCAGGUCACCGUGGAGGGCUCCUCUGCCAUGGCAGAGUUUUCCGUGGCCAAAAUCCUAACCAAGACCAUGAAUUCCUCCCAUUACCGCUUCCCGGCCCACGGGCAGAGCUUCAUCCAGAUCCCCCACGAGGCCUUCCACAGGCACGCCUGGAGCACCGUCGUGGGUCUGCUGUACCACAGCAUGCACUACUACCUGAACAACAUCUGGCCUGCCCACACCAAGAUCGCGGAGGCCAUGCAUCACCAGGACUACCUGCUGUUCGCCACCAGCCACCUGAUUUCCCUGGAGGUGUCCCCUCCGCCCACCCUGUCUCAGAACCUGUCGGGCUCUCCGCUCAUUACGGUCCACCUCAAGCACAGAUUGACCCGUAAGCAGCACAGUGAGAUCACCAACAGCAGCAACCGAGUCUUCGUGUACUGUGCCUUCCUGGACUUCAGCUCCGGAGAAGGGGUCUGGUCGAACCAGGGCUGUGCGCUCACGAGAGGAAACCUCACCUACUCCAUCUGCCGCUGCACUCACCUCACCAACUUUGCCAUCCUCAUGCAGGUGGUCCCACUGGAGCUUGCACGCGGACACCAGGUGGCGCUGUCGUCUAUCAGCUACGUGGGCUGCUCCCUCUCCGUGCUCUGCCUGGUGGCCACACUGGUCACCUUUGCCGUGCUGUCCUCCGUGAGCACCAUCCGGAACCAGCGCUACCACAUCCACGCCAACCUGUCCUUCGCCGUGCUGGUGGCCCAGGUCCUGCUGCUCAUUAGCUUCCGCCUCGAGCCAGGCACGACCCCCUGCCGGGUGAUGGCCGUGCUCCUACACUACUUCUUCCUGAGUGCCUUCGCAUGGAUGCUGGUGGAGGGGCUGCACCUCUACAGCAUGGUGAUCAAGGUCUUUGGGUCGGAGGACAGCAAGCACCGUUACUACUAUGGGAUGGGUUGGGGUUUUCCUCUUCUGAUCUGCAUCAUUUCACUGUCAUUUGCCAUGGACAGUUACGGAACAAGCAACAAUUGCUGGCUGUCGUUGGCGAGUGGCGCCAUCUGGGCCUUUGUAGCCCCUGCCCUGUUUGUCAUCGUGGUCAACAUUGGCAUCCUCAUCGCUGUGACCAGAGUCAUCUCACAGAUCAGCGCCGACAACUACAAGAUCCAUGGAGACCCCAGUGCCUUCAAGUUGACGGCCAAGGCAGUGGCCGUGCUGCUGCCCAUCCUGGGCACCUCGUGGGUCUUUGGCGUGCUUGCUGUCAAUGGUUGUGCUGUGGUUUUCCAGUACAUGUUCGCCACGCUCAACUCCCUGCAGGGACUGUUCAUAUUCCUCUUUCAUUGUCUCCUGAAUUCAGAGGUGAGAGCCGCCUUCAAGCACAAAACCAAGGUCUGGUCGCUCACGAGCAGCUCCGCCCGCACCGCCAACGCGAAGCCCUUCCACUCGGACAUCAUGAAUGGGACCCGGCCAGGCACGGCCUCCACCAAGCUCAGCCCUUGGGACAAGAGCAGCCACUCUGCCCACCGCGUAGACCUGUCAGCCGUGUGAGCCGGGAGGCUGCCAACCAGGCCAGGCUGCACUCAGAACGCACCCCCCAAAACGGAAUGAAAUGCCCCACCUUUGCCCAUGGGACCCUCUCCUUGCUGCUGUCUGGACAUGGGUGUUGCGGCCCCGAGACAGCUGUCCUCCGCUGUGACUCUGGCUGUCAGAGCACACUGCUGAGCCCAGCAGCCUGAUGCCCAGGCCAAUGUGGCCCCUCCUGCCUCGCGUCCACCCGUGGGCUGAGUGACUCCCUCUGGGGACUCCCAGGACACAGUGGCCUUACUGUGAUGGUGCCCUUGAGCCUCCCUUCGUCACUGAGCACCAGACCCAGCAAGGCCAGGACACUCAGGGCCUGGUCCCGCAGCACCAGGAGGGGACGUUCAGUGUCUGUGCCUUGGUGGGACUUGGGGACUCAGGGCCAAAGAGGUGGUUCAGGUCCCCACGCACCCUCAGUCAGGCGCAGGCAGCUGGGGGUGUGUGGGGAAGAGCAUGAGGAGUCCCCAGUGUCUGAAUCCACUGAGUGGUGAGUUGCCCACAGCCGGCGCCAGCCGUGGUGUGUGUCUCCGUAGGUGGUGCUGGCGUGGGCCAACCUGCGCUGUGUCAUCAGUUUGGGGCCCCUGCCCAAGCCGAGCUCGAGCCGUGGGCGGGAGUCGUUGACUCUCCAGGUGAGGGUGACCCCUCUGCCCUGUCCUUGGGGGGGUCCCCUCUGCUCACGUGAAGAGCCGCUCUGGGCCUUGAGGCUGCCUGAUGGUACCUGUGCUUUGGGGAGCUUCUUGGCCAUCCUCUGUGAGUUUUGCCUCUUUGGACCCCAAUUCGGCCUUAAGAUGCCCUCCUUCCUCGUGUGCGAGCCUCCUUGGUUGUUCUUGGGCCACGGGAGCUGGCCGUGUCCCUGCAGUGCCUGGUGUCCAGGUGGAAAAUGGAGAGCAUUUUCCAAGGCACCACUUUCCCCAGAGACUUCCUCAUGACUCGCAGGCACUCCACUAAGUUUCUAAUGGGCAGACCACGCAGCAUGUAGCACAGUGCGCUCCGUCUGGUCACCAUGAGACCGACCUGCGCUAAGUCCCCACUGACCUGGAGAGGGAGGGCUGGCGACAGCCGUGUCUUCUGUGUUGAGGGAAAUUUAUGGACUCAGACUCAGCCCCAGAGGAGAUGGGAUAAUCGUUAGACCCGUGCGUGGGCAUGAUCCUGUGGAACACAGGUUUGGGAUCAUAGAUGUGAAUUAAGACACCACUGAGAUAUGGGCUGUGAGGUUCAUACUGUGCCGAUAGCACUUGUGGUGUCUGUGAAAUGUGGGUAAGACAUUCAAACCUGGUUUUGAUACUGGAAACUCUUCCUUUAAAACUGUGAGCAUGAUUUCAUUCAGCCCCUCCGCACCCCUAUGUCUGCCUUGUUUCAGAGGGAGUUUUCUAUGCAGCCUGUGGCCCUUUUGCAUGCCAUAUGGUGGCUUCUUAAUGUAACUCUUCCCCUGGCCACCUGGAGUGGACCAGUCAUCCGCAGGCCUCUCCUGCUUGGGGAGGGUAGGCAGGGAGCAGCAUGUCUGCAGGGGUGAAUCUUUGCUCGUCUGUCAGGCGAGGCCCAGGCUGCACCGGCCACCUGACACAUGGUGACAGUGCCACGGGCCCUGCGUAUAGCCCCUGCCACCGUGCUGUGGCGGGCACACCCGGCUGCUGCGGGCCAAGGCCACUGUUCAGUGAAGAGUCCCGUCUUUAGUAUGGACUGAAGUCCCAUGUUUAGCCACUGCCCCAGGCUCCCAUGACCCCAGAAACCAGGUCACGUGGACCACAGUGCCAGAUCCUCAUCACACCUGUGAGCACCUAGAAGUGAGAACACUGUAUUCCUACAAUUUACACUUGGAUAUUUUUCCUUAUUUAGUUUCUAGUGAAACAAAUCAAGUAAGGAACUAUCUUUAGUUUAGAUGGAAUUAUUUGUUUUUAACUGUUGCCAUAUUCAUCUAUAUAGCUAAUAUUUCAAGAUAAGUAAUGAACAAAACCUGUCUAAACCUUUUAUUUCCAAUGAAUGAAAGUCGUGCGCUUUAUUUAUAGGCUCUAUAUGUUUUGGCUUCUGCAGUACUUUUAUUAUCUAUACAUAAUUUGGCCAAAAAUAAGAAAUUGGAAAGAAUGAAAUGUUUAGUUUAUAGUAGAAGAAAGAUGAUGACACUAAGUUGUGAAAAUAUGUUGUGAUUUUCAUGAAAUAAAAUCUUCAUGUCCU
rnacentral:sRNA from 1 species